GUGCCAGCCGCCGCGGUAAUACCGGCAGCUCAAGUGAUGUCCCAUAUUAUUGGGCCUAAAGCGUCCGUAGCUGGCCGACCAAGUCUCUCGGGAAAUCCACCCGCCCAACGGGGGGGCGUCCGGUAGAAACUGGCCGGCUUGGAACCGGAAGGCUCAGAGAGUACGUCCGGGGUAGGAGUGAAAUCCCGUAAUCCCGGACGGACUACCGAUGGCGAAAGCGCUCCGAGAAGACGGCUUCGACAGUGAGGGACGAAAGCUCGGGUCUCAAACCGGAUUAGAUACCCCAGUAGUCC
rnacentral:rRNA from 1 species